GACAGAGGAGCCAAGCGUUGUCCGGAUUGACUGGGCGUAAAGCGCACGCAGGCGGCUCGGCGCGUGGGGUGUGAAAGCUGGCGGCUUAACUGCCAGAUGCCAUCCCAUACGGCUGGGCUCGAGCCCUGCAGAGGUCCAUGGAAUUGCCGGUGUAGUGGUGAAAUGCGUAGAGAUCGGCAGGAACACCAGUGGCGAAGGCGACUACCUGGCCUGUUCUUGACGCUGAGGCGCGAAAGCUAGGGGAGCAAACGGG
rnacentral:rRNA from 1 species